rnacentral:tRNA from 1 species
GGAGGGGUACCGAAGUGGUUAUAACGGACCGGUUUCGAAAACCGGCAAGGGCGAAAGCUCUUCGGGAGUUCGAAUCUCCCCCCCUCCG